CGAACGCUGGCGGCAGGCCUAAUACAUGCAAGUCGAACGGCUCUUCGGAGCAGUGGCGGACGGGUGAGUAACGCGUGGGAAUGUGCCCUUUGGUACGGAACAACACAGGGAAACUUGUGCUAAUACCGUAUGUGCCCUUCGGGGGAAAGAUUUAUCGCCAUUGGAGCAGCCCGCGUUGGAUUAGGUAGUUGGUGAGGUAAAGGCUCACCAAGCCUACGAACCAUAGCUGGUCUGGGAGGAUGACCAGCCACACUGGGACUGAGACACGGCCCAGACUCCUACGGGAGGCAGCAGUAGGGAAUCUUGCGCAAUGGGCGAAAGCCUGACGCAGCCAUGCCGCGUGUAUGAUGAAGGUCUUAGGAUUGUAAAAUACUUUCACCGGGGAAGAUAAUGACGGUACCCGGAGAAGAAGCCCCGGCUAACUUCGUGCCAGCCGCCGCCGUAACAC
rnacentral:rRNA from 1 species